GACGAACGCUGGCGGCGUGCUUAACACAUGCAAGUCGAACGGAAAGGCCCUGCUUGCGGGGUACUCGAGUGGCGAACGGGUGAGUAACACGUGGGUGAUCUGCCCUGCACUUCGGGAUAAGCCUGGGAAACUGGGUCUAAUACCGGAUAGGAGCCAUUUUUAGUGUGAUGGUUGGAAAGUUUUUUUCGGUGUAGGAUGAGCUCGCGGCCUAUCAGCUUGUUGGUGGGGUAAUGGCCUACCAAGGCGGCGACGGGUAGCCGGCCUGAGAGGGUGGACGGCCACAUUGGGACUGAGAUACGGCCCAGACUCCUACGGGAGGCAGCAGUGGGGAAUAUUGCACAAUGGGCGCAAGCCUGAUGCAGGGACGCCGCGUGGGGGAUGACGGCCUUCGGGUUGUAAACUCCUUUCGCUAGGGACGAAGCUUUUUGUGACGGUACCUAGAUAAGAAGCACCGGCUAACUACGUG
rnacentral:rRNA from 1 species